rnacentral:rRNA from 1 species
AAACCAACAGGGAUUGCCCUAGUAACGGCGAGUGAAGCGGCAACAGCUCAAAUUUGAAAUCUGGCCUCGGCCCGAGUUGUAAUUUGCAGAGGAUGCUUCUGGCGCGGUGCCUUCCGAGUUCCCUGGAACGGGACGCCACAGAGGGUGAGAGCCCCGUAUGGUCGGACACCAAGCCUGUGUGAAGCUCCUUCGACGAGUCGAGUAGUUUGGGAAUGCUGCUCUAAAUGGGAGGUAAAUCUCUUCUAAAGCUAAAUACCGGCCAGAGACCGAUAGCGCACAAGUAGAGUGAUCGAAAGAUGAAAAGCACCUUGAAAAGGGGGUUAAAUAGUACGUGAAAUUGUUGAAAGGGAAGCACUUAUGACCAGACUUGGGCCGGGCGGCUCAUCAGGGGUUCUCCCCUGUGCACUCCGCCCGGCACAGGCCAGCAUCGGUUUUCGCGGGGGGAUAAGACCGGCGGGAACGUAGCACCCUCCGGGGUGUGUUAUAGCCCACCGGACGAUACCCUCGCGGGGACCGAGGUCCGCGCUCCGCAAGGAUGCUGGCGUAAUGGUCAUCAGUGACCCGUCUUGAAACACGGACCAAGGAGUCGUCCAUUAGAGCGAGCGUUUGGGUGUAAAACCCGCACGCGUAAUGAAAGUGAACGCAGGUGAGAGCUUCGGCGCAUCAUCGACCGAUCCUGAUGUUCUCGGAAGGAUUUGAGUAAGAGUUUUAACGGACGGACCCGAAAGACAGUGAACUAUGCUUGUAUAGGGUGAAGCCAGAGGAAACUCUGGUGGAGGCUCGCAGCGGUUCUGACGUGCAAAUCGAUCGUCAAAUAUGAGCAUGGGGGCGAAAGACUAAUCG